rnacentral:rRNA from 1 species
AUGGAAAACUCUGGACUAUACUGGCCACCGUUGUACCCGAAGCACCCAGACAUGGAAAAAAAUCCCCUUUCUCUUACUGCUCUUUGGAUCGAGGUCUGGCCGAGGCAGGGAUGGCGCAAAGCUUCUGGCCGCGGAUCUAGCGCUGCUCACCUUCCCAUGAUGCGGCAUCUCAUCUCUGCUGAACUGGAGAGGCAGAUGUCAGGUCAGAGAGCUGGGUCGUCGCGUUUGACGACCAUCUCCUCCACAGUUUUCCUCGUCGAUCUCGUAUUCUCCAAUCACCCGGAGGUCAGCAUGCCUGGUAUGGUCGAUGCGCCACAUCUAUGCAUCGUUCCUACUUCCUCCAUAAUGCCCAAUUCUUCACAGGUGAGAAGGAAACUUGGAUGGUUGGGUGUGACUUAUGUAGAAAGGAGUUGCAUGCCACUUCAUAAUUUGGGCCGCCUUUGA